rnacentral:tRNA from 1 species
GUCUUCGUAGUAUAUGGAAUAUACUGGUCUUGUAAACCAGAGAAGGAGAGUAAUUGUCCUCCCCAAGGCU